GACAAGAAGAAAAACAACCAAGGGCUUCUGCAGAAAGUCUAAUGAUGAGACAGAGAAAGGUGAAAGUCACAUGAUCUGAAAGGAUCGCAACAGUUUGUGCAAAAAAAACUUUGGCUUAUUAUCUGAUAUUUGCAGCUUAUAAACCUACAUUAUAUGCUUUUAUCCAAAGCAACAAAAGAGGAACAUAUGCAGCUCCUCUGCUGUUAUAGUUCAUGCAAUGACUAUUGUUUUUUUUUUUUUGUAUGGUUGUGUUACUUAAGUUCUUGUGCAAGAUGUUUAAAAAAUAAAGUGAAUGUUGUGUAACAAAACAUGUACCUUAAUAUUUCAUGAAUCAAUUUUUCUUUCUUUUUAUUUUUUUUCUUUCUUUUUUUUGUAGGAUUUUGCAUUCCUACUAAAUAAAAAAAAUGCAUCGUGAUUAUUAGAAGGAUGAAAAACCGAAAUAGACCAUUUUACAGUAACGGAGUCAGUUCAGCUCACGGGUGCAGAUGAAUGAAUGUAGCAUCAAAACAAGGACAAAAAGUCAUUGUUGUGAACUACUGUAAUAACUUUAAAAGCAGCUACAUGCUGUAGAUUCUGGAAGUUAAAAUCUUCAUUUAUUCCACAAGGAGAAGGACUUUUGAUGAUUCUGCUAUAUACCGUUUAUCUGUUUGUUUGUUUUUUGCUUUAGUCUUGAAACUUCAAACUUCAGUUUGAAAAGUUUGUACUGCUGUGAUUCUGAACGCUUGCACUAUAUUGCCUCAUUAGUAACUUUUCACUAUUUUUGAUUGAACUGUUUAAUAAUGCUGUAAAUGUGUGUGUGUGUGUGUGUGUGUGUGUGUUUUGGCUUCAGAUUACUGCUGUGAUUCUGAACUGUUGCACUGAAACCAUCUGUUGCACUAUAUUGCCUCAUAAUGAACUUUUUCACUAUUUGAUUUUUGAAUAAACUGUUUAAU